CUGUGUCUUACGAGCACGUUGAGUUUUGUGCGUGCUAUGCUCCCGGUACUCCUCGGAUGCCUGAAAUAUCGUUAAAGUUGAAAAAUAAAGUACACUAAUCAACAUGGAUAUUGCAUACGACUGACCGGAGAUCCGCAACGAACCACGGACGUGUUCCCAUCUCAUACAUGAUGUUCGCAAUGGCAACGUGCCAUGAUCCUCAAUUCUGUCGGAUUUACAACACGAUUUAUGGCCGACUAGUCAUUAACGUCUUCAAUCUAAUCCCGAAAAUGUUCUAAUAUAUGAUUAUUGAUUAUCAUAACAAUUUCUUGCCGCAAAACUUGUCAUAAUGCUAUUUAAAUUAUAUAAUUGCCAAUAAA